AGGGGUUGGUUUCAUCUCUUUUCUUUGAUGCAUCUUACUUUUCCCUCGAAAAUCGCUCUCACAAAGCUCUACCCCUCAGGGCUUUUUAUUUCCCUCAGCUGGAGAGUUUUUGAUGGCUUGUCCAUCCCCCUCAUCUCAAAGAAAGUAGCUCAGAGUACCUGUCAAACCUGUGGGUUUUAGUUUUGUAAUAAUGCAAACAAGCUUUACUUACAUUCAAGGCACAAGCUUUCUUUCUGAUUCUAAUUAUGUGAAAACAUCUAUUGUGUUACGUUUUACUAAAUAUUUUUUGGGGAGCCUCUUGUAAAAUUGACAGUCAAUUCACAGCGUUGUCUCUUGAAUAGAUAAACCGGCCGUUUCAAAGAAACAAACCCUAUUUAAAAAAAAAAGAAGACCAAAUAGAUGCAACACGCCUACAUACUUUUCAUUUCCUCUCAUCAGUAGAACAACAUUAAUGCAAUCUACUCUUUCACAUUUGAUUCACGUAGGCGACAAUAACUCGAACAUUGAUGCUCCCUCAUGUGGACCCAAGCUUUACCGCGGAUGUGAAUCUUGAAUAUGAGACUGGACUCAUGUGCCUGGAAACAAAUAUAUGGAACAAUUUCAAAAUUUAUUUGGCGACCCACAAUAAGAUAUUUGGCAACUCACUGUUUGGGAAAUUACUCGUAUGAAGAAUGACUUUUAUCUGUGUGGAAGGGGAGUGCCAAUGUGUGAAAUCUCACACUAAUGGCUCCUAUAAUGUUUAUUUAAAGAAGAUGCUGCUUUCUUGUGACGAAAGUCCUCUAUUUUCCACCACAGCCCCAUGAGCCACACCAUACAUGGCACAGCCAUGACCCAAACAACCUGUGAGCUAAUCAGCUCCGCUGUGAAACAGAGCUUUUCUAAAGGCCGAGCAGAACUUUUCACCCCCCACAAAAGAGUCAUUGUUGAUCUGACUGACGUGUGGGCCGACUGAAAAGAACUGUGUUUGUGGUGCAGAGGAGAUGGCAUAUCAUCAGAGAGGACUUCUGAAGAACUGCCAUCGUUCCGGUAGUUUAAAAAGAGCUGAGGAUUCGGAACAUCAAUAAAGCAGUAAAGAAGUAUUUGCUUUGUUAAGUCAUAGUGGAAUAAAGUCUUCCUCCGGAGAUAAGUUGUUCUAGUUCUGUGCAAACGCCCACAACGAAUUUACAAGCCGCCUCCGCUCCUCGCUGUCAUUUCCCCAAAGGAGCCCAACAAACCACCCCACCGGGCCCGAGAAUGUUCCAGCGUUGGCAGCCGUUUGAGUACCGCUCAACGAACCUGGCAUCUGCUUUGCAUUUUGAUCGGGAACAAACGGUCCAAACGUCACCGAAAAUCCCCACUCUGUGUAGUAAUGAAACGAUUACUGCAUGCAGCAAUUCGAUGCCUUGAAGGCAUGCGUGUCUUUGGAAAUGUCCGUUUUAGUUUGAUAAUAUGCAACAAACAACAAAGUACAUUUCCAUGAUUACAGCUGCCAAUUAACACACACACAGCUAUUUGUCAAGCGAGUAUCGUGGGGUCAAAAUCCCUGCAGAGCAUGUUACGUGUUUGCAAAUACUUGCCUGUGUUGUUUUCCCAUUAAUUUUUCAUCAACUCCUCUUGUCUGCUGUCAUUCUGGUGUUUUUUGAUAGGGCCAGAUGAAAUUAGCCUCCUGCAUAAUUGAUGUUUGUAAUGUUCAGGCACAUGUUUUC
ensembl:lncRNA